AAACAAUAAGACUAAAGUGGGAGUAAUGACUCUACCCAAUUGCAAGACAAUAUAUAGCUACAGUAAUCAAGAUUAUGAUAUUGAAAGGGUGAUAGAAUCCUGGAACGAAUUUGAGAAGCCAGAAAUAGACCCACACAUACAUGCCCAACUGAUUAUUGACAAAAAUGCAAAAGCAAUCAAUGUCAGCAAAUGGUACUGGAGCAAGUAGACAUCCAUAGAAAAAAAGACAUAAAAAAGAACCUAAGUCUUACACCUCAUACAAAAAUUAACUCAAAAUUGUUCAUGAACUUUAAUGUAACCUGUAAAACUAUAAAAUUUUUAAGGAAAAAAAACACAUAAAAGAAAAUCUUCAGGAUCUGGGGCUUGGCAAAAAGUUUGUAGGCAUGAUGCUAAAAGCAAAACUCAGAAAAGGAAAAUUAAUAAAUUAGGCCUUACCAAAUUAAAAAUAUUUUGCUCUGAGAAAGACCCUGUGAAGAGGAUGAAAGGACCAGUCACUGACUGGGAGAAUAUGUUUGCAAAUCAAAUAGCAAACAAAGGACUCAUGUACAGAACUUAUAACAAAUUUUCUAAACUUUACGAUAAACAAACAAUCCAAUUAGAAAAUUGGCAAAAAAAAAAGCGACAUGGCGCCACCGGCACCCGGCCCGGCCUCCGGCGGCUCCGGGGAAGUAGACGAGUUGUUUGACGUAAAGAAUGCCUUUUACAUUGGCAGCUACCAACAGUGCAUCAACGAGGCUCAGCGGGUGAAGCCAUCAAGCCCCGAGAGAGAUGUGGAAAGGGAUGUCUUCCUGUACAGAGCAUACCUCGAACAGAGGAAGUUCGGCGUGGUCCUCGAAGAGAUCAAGCCCUCCUCGUCACCUGAGCUCCAGGCCAUCCGCAUGUUUGCUGAGUACCUGGCUAGCGACAGCCGGCGGGAUGCGAUUGUGGCCGAGCUGGACCGGGAGAUGAGCCGGAGCGUGGACGUGACCAACACCACCUUCCUGCUCAUGGCUGCCUCCAUCUACUUCCAUGACCAGAACCCGGACGCCGCCCUGCGCACCCUGCACCAAGGGGACAGCCUGGAGUGCAUGGCCAUGACGGUGCAGAUCCUGCUGAAGCUAGACCGCCUGGACCUCGCCCGGAAAGAGCUGAAGAAAAUGCAGGACCAGGACGAGGAUGCCACCCUCACCCAGCUGGCCACCGCCUGGGUCAACCUGGCUGUGGACAGCAGCCACCCAGAGACACUGAUCAACCUCAUUGUCCUGUCCCAGCAUCUGGGGAAGCCUCCUGAGGUGACAAACCGCUACCUGUCCCAGCUGAAGGACGCCCACAGGACCCACCCCUUCAUCAAGGAGUACCAUGCCAAGGAAAACGACUUUGACAGACUGGUGCUGCAGUAUGCUCCCAGUGCCUGAGGUUGGCCUGAGACGCACUUCCGGAGCCGUGGGAAUACAAGGCCAAGGCUGUGCUGCCCCCCCCACGGGCACUUACCCUUUAACCAGGAGCAGAGGCUGUAAGCCCAGCCCAGUCUCUGUUUUGUCAAUAAACGUCUCCACUCCAGGUAAAAAAAAAAAAAA